UACGUAGGGUGCGAGCGUUAAUCGGAAUUACUGGGCGUAAAGUGUGCGCAGGCGGCCGAGCAAGUCGAGUGUGAAAGCCCCGGGCUUAACCUGGGAACUGCGCUCGAAACUACUUGGCUUGAGUGUGGCAGAGGGAGGUGGAAUUCCACGUGUAGCGGUGAAAUGCGUAGAGAUGUGGAGGAACACCGAUGGCGAAGGCAGCCUCCUGGGCCAACACUGACGCUGAGAAGCGAAAGCAUGGGGAGCGAACAGG
rnacentral:rRNA from 1 species